AGAUCCCUCCUCCGGAGUUUUGUAGUAAGCCCAGGAUGUGGAGGGACCUUGAAGUUGGAGAAAUGACUAGACAGAAUUCUUUAUGAAGUUCAAUAAAGGAAAAUGAAAAAAUCACCAGGAGUCAGCAAUGUGCCUUUAGGGCAAAGAAAGCCAAGGAAGAAUACUGCCAGCUGUACAAGGCAGGAGAUGCUUUGCGUCUGCUCAGUGCUGCUCAACUCGGAGAGCACUGACAAGAAAGACUGCAAUCAAUCCAUCUUUCAGACCAGCCAAGUUCAAGUACUUCCAGUGCUGUUGUUUCAGAGAGUAAAAAAAAAAAGGGACAAAUGAAAAAGACCUACUAGCAGAGACUUGCCAAUUACAAUUGCAUUUAGAAAGCAGUUAGAACCACUCUAUUUGCAUUCUUAUGUGAAACUAGCUUCUCAUAUUAUAUUCAGCUACAGAUAUUCUUCUGUAUGUGAGGAUGUCUAUGAACAUCUGUUUCUUUGUUACCAUUUGCCUCUGAAGGAGUUCAUUGAGUAAAGAGAAAUGCAUUACUAUUGCCAUUCCAACUUAUAAGCAACUAAUAAAUUAAAAAAUAUACACAAUGAUCACUCACACUGACAGCUGUGUUACAGAGAUGAGGGGCUGAAGGAACUUUCAAAAGUCACUUAUUUUGCACUUGUGGAGUGAGAACAUUCUGACUGGUGGCACAGCUGAGCUUACAGGAAAUCUUGCAUGCAGCUUUGGAUAGGCAAGGCCCUUUCUGUUUAGCAGCUGUAAGUGCACAAGAGUACCAGGGAGGAUCAGCUCAAAGGACCACCUACCCUUGCAUUUGUUGGCAGGAAACAUCUUUAAAGAGGUCAAAAUAAACACAUUUUAAUGUUGAAUAUAAAAUAUGUAAGGCUGCUGUCUUAGUCUCCAGCAGUUAAUGAUUCAGAGACUUUGCAUUUAACAGUUUGCAGUAAACAGAAGCUGCUAGAAAAAUAAAGUACCCUUUGUUAGCUUCAGAAUACAAAUA